UUUUUUUUUUUUUUUUUUUUUUUCAAUGAAUAAAUAAAAAGCUACUAAAGUUAUCGUUACUUUUGGAAUUGAAGGCUACCAAAACGUAACGAAGACGCAAUCCAUACCGAAAGAGAAGAAAUCAACUGCAUGAUAUGAAUAGGGUCCUGGAAAAUCUUU
rnacentral:ribozyme from 16 species